rnacentral:rRNA from 1 species
UACAGAGACUGCAAGCGUUAUUCGGAUUCACUGGGCUUAAAGGGCGCGUAGGCGGUCCGCCAAGUCAGGGGUGAAAUCCUGCAGCUUAACUGUAGAAGUGCCUCUGAUACUGGCGGUCUUGAGGGAAAUAGGGGUGUGCGGAACUUCCAGUGGAGCGGUGAAAUGCGUUGAUAUUGGAAGGAACGCCGGAGGCGAAAGCGGCGCACUGGAUUUCUUCUGACGCUGAGGCGCGAAAGCUAGGGGAGCAAACGGG